rnacentral:rRNA from 1 species
CCUACGGGAGGCAGCAGUGAGGAAUAUUGGUCAAUGGACGCAAGCCUGAACCAGCCAUGCCGCGUGCAGGAAGACGGCUCUAUGAGUUGUAAACUGCUUUUGUACGAGGGUAAACGCAGAUACGUGUAUCUGUCUGAAAGUAUCGUACGAAUAAGGAUCGGCUAACUCCGUGCCAGCAGCCGCGGUAAUACGGAGGAUUCAAGCGUUAUCCGGAUUUAUUGGGUUUAAAGGGUGCGUAGGCGGUCGGUUAAGUUAGAGGUGAAAGGCCGAGGCUCAACUUUGGAAUUGCCUUUGAUACUGGUCGGCUAGAGAGUAGUUGCGGUAGGCGGAAUGUGUGGUGUAGCGGUGAAAUGCUUAGAUAUCAUGCAGAACACCGAUUGCGAAGGCAGCUUACCAAGCUGCUACUGACGUUGAGGCACGAAAGCGUGGGUAGCAAACAGGAUUAGAUACCCGUGUAGUC